ACUCCUACGGGAGGCAGCAGUGGGGAAUAUUGCGCAAUGGGCGAAAGCCUGACGCAGCGACGCCGCGUGAGGGAUGAAGGCCUUCGGGUUGUAAACCUCUUUCAGCAGGGACGAAGCGAAAGUGACGGUACCUGCAGAAGAAGCACCGGCCAACUACGUGCCAGCAGCCGCGGUAAUACGUAGGGUGCAAGCGUUGUCCGGAAUUAUUGGGCGUAAAGAGCUCGUAGGCGGUCUGUCACGUCGGCUGUGAAAACCCGGGGCUCAACCCCGAGCCUGCAGUCGAUACGGGCAGACUAGAGUGCUGUAGGGGAGACUGGAAUUCCUGGUGUAGCGGUGAAAUGCGCAGAUAUCAGGAGGAACACCGGUGGCGAAGGCGGGUCUCUGGGCAGUAACUGACGCUGAGGAGCGAAAGCGUGGAGAGCAAACAGGAUUAGAUACCCUGGUAGUCCACGCCGUAAACGGUGGGUGCUAGGUGUAGGUCGUAUUCCACGCGAUCUGUGCCGCAGCUAACGCAUUAAGCACCCCGCCUGGGGAGUACGGCCGCAAGGCUAAAACUCAAAGGAAUUGACGGGGGCCCGCACAAGCAGCGGAGCAUGUGGCUUAAUUCGACGCAACGCGAAGAACCUUACCAAGGCUUGACAUGCAGGGAAAUCUCACAGAGAUGUGAGGUCCGCAAGGGUCCUGCACAGGUGGUGCAUGGUUGUCGUCAGCUCGUGUCGUGAGAUGUUGGGUUAAGUCCCGCAACGAGCGCAACCCUCGUUCUAUGUUGCCAGCGCGUUAUGGCGGGGACUCAUAGGAGACUGCCGGGGUCAACUCGGAGGAAGGUGGGGACGACGUCAAAUCAUCAUGCCCCUUAUGUCUUGGGCUGCACACAUGCUACAAUGGCCGAUACAAAGGGCUGCUAAGCCGCGAGGUGGAGCGAAUCCCAAAAAGUCGGUCUCAGUUCGGAUUGGGGUCUGCAACUCGACCCCAUGAAGUCGGAGUUGCUAGUAAUCGCAGAUCAGCAACGCUGCGGUGAAUACGUUCCCGGGCCUU
rnacentral:rRNA from 1 species